rnacentral:rRNA from 1 species
UGCAGUCGAGCGGUAACAGAUCCAGCUUGCUGGAUGCUGACGAGCGGCGGACGGGUGAGUAAUGCAUAGGAAUCUGCCCGAUAGUGGGGGAUAACCUGGGGAAACCCAGGCUAAUACCGCAUACGUCCUACGGGAGAAAGGGGGCUCCGGCUCCCGCUAUGGGAUGAGCCUAUGUCGGAUUAGCUAGUUGGUGAGGUAACGGCUCACCAAGGCCACGAUCCGUAGCUGGUCUGAGAGGAUGAUCAGCCACAUCGGGACUGAGACACGGCCCGAACUCCUACGGGAGGCAGCAGUGGGGAAUAUUGGACAAUGGGGGAAACCCUGAUCCAGCCAUGCCGCGUGUGUGAAGAAGGCCCUCGGGUUGUAAAGCACUUUCAGCGAGGAAGAACGCCUAGCGGUUAAUACCCGCUAGGAAAGACAUCACUCGCAGAAGAAGCACCGGCUAACUCCGUGCCAGCAGCCGCGGUAAUACGGAGGGUGCAAGCGUUAAUCGGAAUUACUGGGCGUAAAGCGCGCGUAGGUGGCUUGAUAAGCCGGUUGUGAAAGCCCCGGGCUCAACCUGGGAACGGCAUCCGGAACUGUCAAGCUAGAGUGCAGGAGAGGAAGGUAGAAUUCCCGGUGUAGCGGUGAAAUGCGUAGAGAUCGGGAGGAAUACCAGUGGCGAAGGCGGCCUUCUGGACUGACACUGACACUGAGGUGCGAAAGCGUGGGUAGCAAACAGGAUUAGAUACCCUGGUAGUCCACGCCGUAAACGAUGUCGACCAGCCGUUGGGUGCCUAGCGCACUUUGUGGCGAAGUUAACGCGAUAAGUCGACCGCCUGGGGAGUA